UAGAGUUUGAUCCUGGCUCAGGAUGACGCUAGCUACAGGCUUACACAUGCAAGUCGAGGGGCAGCGGGAAGAAGCUUGCUUUCUUUGCCGGCGACCGGCGCACGGGUGAGUAACGCGUAUCCACCUUCCCCUUAGUAGGGCAUAGCCCGUAGAAAUGCGGAUUAAUACCCUAUGUUAUUCGUCGAGGACAUCUGAAGUGAAUCAAAGGUUUACCGCUAAGGGAUGGGGAUGCGUCCGAUUAGGCAGCAGCGGGGUAACGGCCCACCUGGCCGACGAUCGGUAGGGUUCUGAAAGGAAGGUCCCCCACAUUGGGAACUGAGAC
rnacentral:rRNA from 1 species